UGAACCUCACAAGAUACGGGGUGUCUGGUU
rnacentral:piRNA from 1 species